rnacentral:rRNA from 1 species
AUUGAACGCUGGCGGAAUGCUUUACACAUGCAAGUCGAACGGCAGCACGGACUUCGGUCUGGUGGCGAGUGGCGAACGGGUGAGUAAUACAUCGGAACGUGCCCAAUCGUGGGGGAUAACGUAGCGAAAGCUACGCUAAUACCGCAUACGAUCUAAGGAUGAAAGUGGGGGAUCGCAAGACCUCGCGCGAUUGGAGCGGCCGAUGACAGAUUAGGUAGGUGGUAGGGUAAAGGACUACCAAGCCGACGAUCUGUAGCUGGUCUGAGAGGAUGAACAGCCACACUGGGACUGAGAAACGGCCCAGACUCCUACGGGAGGCAGCAGUGGGGAAUUUUGGACAAUGGACGCAAGUCUGAUCCAGCCAUUCCGCGUGCAGGAUGAAGGCCCUCGGGUUGUAAACUGCUUUUGUACAGAACGAAAAGGCUCUGGUUAAUACCUAGGGCUCAUGACGGUACUGUAAGAAUAAGCACCGGCUAACUACGUGCCAGCAGCCGCAGUAA